rnacentral:tRNA from 1 species
AACAUAUAGAAGACUUAUGUUACGGCCAUAAGAAUGGUAAUGUUAUACCGUAUGUUU